rnacentral:rRNA from 1 species
GAUGAACGCUGGCGGCGUGCCUAAUACAUGCAAGUCGAACGAAACUUCUUUAUCACCGAGUGCUUGCACUCACCGAUAAAGAGUUGAGUGGCGAACGGGUGAGUAACACGUGGGCAACCUGCCCAAAAGAGGGGGAUAACACUUGGAAACAGGUGCUAAUACCGCAUAACCAUAGUUACCGCAUGGUAACUAUGUAAAAGGUGGCUAUACUACCGCUUUUGGAUGGGCCCGCGGCGCAUUAGCUAGUUGGUAGGGUAAAGGCUUACCAAGGCAAUGAUGCGUAGCCGAAUUGAGAGAUUGAUCGGCCACAUUAGGACUGAGACACGGCCCAAACUCCUACGGGAGGCAGCAGUAGGGAAUCUUCCACAAUGGGCGAAAGCCUGAUGUAGCAACGCCGCGUGGGUCAAGAAGGUCUUCGGAUCGUAAAACCCUGUUGUUAGAGAAGAAAGUGCGUGAGAGUAACUGUUCACGUUUCGACGGUAUCUAACCAGAAAGCCACGGCUAACUACGUG